rfam:Lactonifactor longoviformis DSM 17459 genome assembly, contig: EJ64DRAFT_scaffold00011.11
UAUUACAGUCAGGGGAGCCUGUGAGCAGGCUGAGAGGAAGUACUCAACUUCGACCCUUUAACCUGAUAUGGAUAAUGCCAGCGUAGGGAGAUGAAAUUAAUAAUCC